AUGUUUAGGAAAUUAAGGGUAUAUAAGUGAGACGUUUACGGGAUACAAUUUGUCUGUGUGAGAGAGCCGAAAUCAAGAUGAAGUACAUUUUCCCUGUAUUACUGACCUGUCUCCUGCUCGUUGUGAUACAAUCCCACGCGAGUAUGAUCUGCAUGACUAAGUGCCCAAGUGGCAUGAAAGAUUGCGUCUCAUUGAAUAGAAAAAAGACAAAGGACUGCGCCACCUACAAGUGUGUGAUGAAGAAUUACAAGCUCCAUCUGGACCUCAUAUCUUAUAAAUGCCAUUCCUCCUUUGGGAAGUGCCACGCAAACGGAAAAUUAUUUCGUCACAAAAUUGGCAAGAGGACCUACAAGUGCCAAUGCAAAAUCAGUGGCAACCAUGCUGCAUUUAAGUCAUGUUCCCCUGCUUAGUGAUUGUCAAAAUCGGCAUAAUAGCCUAGAGUAAUAAACAUCCGGAAACCGC